UCAAGGAGUAGUUUAAUAAAAAUUCUAGUUUUGGGAAUUAGAGAUAAGGAGUGUUCCUUCUCCUUGAU
rnacentral:tRNA from 1 species